CGAGGAAAAGAAAUCAACCGAGAUUCCGAAAGUAGCGGCGAGCGAAAUUGGACUAGCCCUUAAGCUUUACACGCGUUAGACGAACGGUCUGGAAAGUCCGACGAUACAGGGUGAUAGUCCCGUAGUUGACGACGUGUGUUCAGUGAAAUCGAGUAGGGCGGGACACGUGAUAUCCUGUCUGAAUAUGGGGGGACCAUCCUCCAAGGCUAAAUACUACUGACUGACCGAUAGUGAACCAGUACCGUGAGGGAAAGGCGAAAAGAACCCCUGUGAGGGGAGUGAAAUAGAACCUGAAACCGUGUACGUACAAGCAGUAGGAGCAGGCUUUGUCCUGUGACUGCGUACCUUUUGUAUAAUGGGUCAGCGACUUAUAUUCAGUGGCAAGGUUAACCAUCUAGGGGAGCCGUAGGGAAACCGAGUCUUAACUGGGCGUUCAGUCUCUGGAUAUAGACCCGAAACCAGGUGAUCUAGCCAUGGGCAGGUUGAAGGUUGAGUAACAUCAACUGGAGGACCGAACCGACUAAUGUUGAAAAAUUAGCGGAUGACUUGUGGCUAGGGGUGAAAGGCCAAUCAAACCUGGAGAUAGCUGGUUCUCCCCGAAAGCUAUUUAGGUAGCGCCUCGGACGAAUACUACUGGGGGUAGAGCACUGUUAAGGCUAGGGGGUCAUCCCGACUUACCAACCCUUUGCAAACUCCGAAUACCAGUAAGUACUAUCCGGGAGACACACGGCGGGUGCUAACGUCCGUCGUGGAGAGGGAAACAACCCAGACCGCCAGCUAAGGUCCCAAAUUACUACUAAGUGGGAAACGAUGUGGGAAGGCUCAGACAGCCAGGAUGUUGGCUUAGAAGCAGCCAUCAUUUAAAGAAAGCGUAAUAGCUCACUGGUCGAGUCGGCCUGCGCGGAAGAUGUAACGGGGCUAAGUAGUAAACCGAAGCUGCGGCAAUGUGCUUUUGCACAUUGGGUAGGGGAGCGUUCUGUAAGCGGUUGAAGGUGUGUGGUAACGCAUGCUGGACGUAUCAGAAGUGCGAAUGCUGACAUGAGUAACGAUAAAGGGGGUGAAAAACCUCCUCGCCGGAAGACCAAGGGUUCCUGUCCAACGUUAAUCGGGGCAGGGUAAGUCGACCCCUAAGGCGAGGCCGAAAGGCGUAGUCGAUGGGAAACGGGUUAAUAUUCCCGUACUUCUUACAAUUGCGAUGGGGGGACGGAGAAGGCUAGGUGGGCCUGGCGACGGUUGUC
rnacentral:rRNA from 1 species